rnacentral:lncRNA from 1 species
GCCAUGGCCAUAGAUUUCAUCAUCACCUGUAAAGGAACCUCUCUCUGAUGCUCCUCCUCCUCCACAUGUGGAUACAUCUGUCCUUAGUGCUCCACCUUCCUGUGAUCCGAUGAUCCUGCAAUAGGCAACUUCGAUAAACACACCAUCAACUAUCCAAUUUGCAUCGAUCGAACCUCCGACUGAUCUUCUAUGGCUGAAGCAAUCACCUUAGCCUCCCCAGACACAACAGAUCUCUCCAUCUGGUAUAGCUGACUCCUCAACCUUCUCCCUCUCAUCACAAUCCUAUUGCCCUUGG